rnacentral:lncRNA from 1 species
GAAACAGCAGCUGGAUCCUCUGGGUCAAUGGUGAUCUUCUCUUUGCGAAGUAUACCAAGAGCUGUCUCAAAUUUCUUUUUAACAUCCAAGAAGAUGUUCUUCAGCAUCUCUUUACCCCUCAAACGUAAGAAAUGUUCAGUAAGGUUUCAUCAAAUAUUAACAAAGGAAAGACAUAAAUAAGAUCAACAAUGGAUAGCCAGUCACCCAUAAAUACAUACUACCUAAAAGACACAAAAAUACCAGAUAUCAAGUUUGGAACUUAGCAUUGUAUAGCACUCACAUAUUAAAACCAAUGUAAAUUUGUGAAAGGCGUAAAGCAAACCAUUGUUCUCAACGUUAACCUUGCAAAUCACAAUGAAUAGCAUCACAUAACCUCUUAAAUACGGCCAAGCAUUUUGACUCACCAUCACCCUUUAGCACGGGGCGACUUGCUUCCUUGGCGAAAUAACGGACCGGAAUAACGCGAUCCUGUUGAAGAAUGACUCCAUUGCCACACAGCUG